rnacentral:rRNA from 1 species
CCUACGGGUGGCAGCAGUCGAGAAUCAUUCACAAUGGGGGAAACCCUGAUGGUGCGACGCCGCGUGGGGGAAUGAAGGUCUUCGGAUUGUAAGCCCCUGUCAUGUGGGAGCAAAUUAAAAAGAUAGUACCACAAGAGGAAGAGACGGCUAACUCUGUGACAGCAGCCGCGGUAAUACAGAGGUCUCAAGCGUUGUUCGGAAUCACUGGGCGUAAAGGGUGCGUAGGCUGUUUCGUAAGUCGUGUGUGAAAGGCGCGGGCUCAACCCGCGGACGGCACAUGAUACUGCGAGACUAGAGUAAUGGAGGGGGAACCGGAAUUCGCGGUGUAGCAGUGAAAUGCGUAGAUAUCGAGAGGAACACUCGUGGCGAAGGCGGGUUCCUGGACAUUAACUGACGCUGAGGCACGAAGGCCAGGGGAGCGAAAGGGAUUAGAUACCCGAGUAGUC